AGAGUUUGAUCAUGGCUCAGAACGAACGCUGGCGGCAGGCCUAACACAUGCAAGUCGAACGGUUGUAGCAAUACAGCAGUGGCGCACGGGUGAGUAAUGCAUGGGAACGUCCCAUAGAGUCUGGAAUAACCUCGGGAAACUGAGGCUAAUACCGGAUAUUCUCUUCGGAGGAAAGAUUCAUCGCUCUAUGAUCGGCCCAU
rnacentral:rRNA from 1 species